UAGCAAUAUGUUUAGAGAAAGUCAGCAGAUGAUUAUAUUUACACACUGGAAGAGCUUUUUGAUACAAACCAGUUAUAGUUGUAUGAACUAAACUUUAUUUUUUUUUCAGGCAGUUUAAAACAAAAGGCAUGUAUUUAAUACACAGAAUAUUUUUUUAUAAUCAUGUAACCCAAUUAGAUGUUUCCACUAUUGUAAUAUAUUGGCUAACAAAACCUCAUAUGAAGAAAUGUACUGAAAUCAGAAUGAAUUGCUGCCUGUGUUCACUACGGUGAUAGCUGCCAUAAAUGUUGCGAUGCUAUAAAGGGAUUAUUAAUCAUCUUGGGGAAUUAAGUCUUGAGAGCUGAAGGCUGAAAGCUUAUCUUGUGUUGGUAUCUGCCUGCUGGAAGGUAUUGAAAAAAGAAGUAAAAUAAUAUUAAUUGUAUUCAUAAAGGCCCCAAGAAGUUGAGAGCUUAUGGCCUGUUCUGCUGUCCUUCAGGUUACUGGGAUGUUUCCUGUUGAUCCCAAGGAGCCAGCAUCAGGCCCUGCAUGACCUACCCAGGACACCAGAUGGGACCACGGCUGUACAAAAUGGAUUCCUGCUCUCGUUCAUCCCCUUUACCCUCAGGGUGUUUGUGUGGCUACAUCAGGCUCUCCCUGCUCCCACCUGGCAGUGAGUGCACAGCUGGAAAAGGCCUGGCGUCCACGGGGCAGGAUCCUGGGCCUCAUCACCUGCACAGUUCAUCACUUUCUAAGGAUGCAUCAUCAGGAUGCUUUGUGAUAUCGUUAAUUAAGAGAGAGGACUUGGAGUUAGGAUCUCAG
rnacentral:lncRNA from 1 species